UACGUAGGGGGCAAGCGUUGUCCGGAUUUAUUGGGCGUAAAGCGCGCGUAGGCGGCUACUUAAGUCGGAUGUGAAAGCCCUUGGCUCAACUGAGGAAGUGCACCCGAAACUGAGUGGCUAGAGUACGAAAGAGGGUCGCGGAAUUCCCGGUGUAGAGGUGAAAUUCGUAGAUAUCGGGAGGAACACCGGUGGCGAAGGCGGCGACCUGGGUCGAUACUGACGCUGAUGCGCGAAAGCGUGGGGAGCAAACAGG
rnacentral:rRNA from 1 species